GAUGAACGCUGGCGGCGUGCUUAACACAUGCAAGUCGAACGGAAAGGCCCAAGCUUGCUUGGGUACUCGAGUGGCGAACGGGUGAGUAACACGUGGGUGAUCUGCCCUGCACUUCGGGAUAAGCCUGGGAAACUGGGUCUAAUACCGGAUAGGACGAUGGUUUGGAUGCCAUUGUGGACAGUUUUUUCGGUGUGGGAUGCGCUCGCGGCCUAUCAGCUUGUUGGUGGGGUUAUGGCCUACCAAGGCGUCGACGGGUAGCCGUCCUGAGAGGGUGGACGGCCGCACUGGGCCUGAGAGAGGGCCCACACUCCUACAGGAGGGAGCAAGGGGGAAUAUUGGACAAUGGGCGGAAGCCUGAGGGAGCGAGGCCGCGUGGGGGAUGAAGGCCUUCGGGUUGGAAACACCUUUGGCUAGGGAGGAAGCGUUUUUGUGAAGGGAACUGGAGAAGAAGCACAGGCUAAAUACGUG
rnacentral:rRNA from 1 species